UUUUAACCUGCAUUUAUCUAUGUUCACAGCUUGGGAAAUUGUUUUAUAACCUGUUUUAUAACCUAAUUUGCAUGUUAGGUCAAUGGUCUCUCAGAAUGAUUGUGUUAUAAACCUAAUCUGCUGUGUCUCCUGGUCUUCAUGAUUCUGGUUGUUCACUGACAAACCUCAAAGGCCCUCGAAAAAAAGCUGGAUUUAUACAAAAGAAAUUAAAGGAGCGGACUCUGUUGACCAAAUGGACAACUUUUGAAGGCAAUUGAUAGCACUGGAUUAUGUUCAGGGGUAUCAGAGCAAAGAAGUUCUCAAUGCAAAAGUACACCAUACCCCAAUGACAAAAUCGCAAUAAAAUACGAAGAAGUUAGUCAUUCCACGGGUAUCAAUAGUUUUUGCAAGGCAGAUGUUCUUACAAUCUCACGCUGUCAUUUUUACACGCAAACAUACAGAUGAGGGGAGAGGAGAGGGAAGCAUGUUAAAAGCAGAACAAUAACCCCUCCACCACCUGCUUUGCUCCCCUGUAACACGUCAGAGCCAGCGGGCUGUGGAUCGAGGCGCACAGCGGGGCGAAGUCAGCACUUCUUGGGGACACGGCUAGGGGACAGUGGGCUGUCUUCUAACUCGGGACACGCACACAGGCAGAAACAAACAUACAAACAUUCUGGAGAGCUUCGUGUCCUGGAGCACGCUGCGAGGAACCUGUCAGGUACUGUAACACAGACGAUAAUCCACUUCUGCGCCCGCUUCGCCGUGCGCCUCGGGCGCUUCACAAACAAACCUGAGGUGGAGAGGCGGGUGUCAGCUCAGUGGUGAAGUCAAGAGAUACGGGUUUGCCUAUGAAGUGGAUAAACUCGUACCCACAGAGGCGACUGUUUGCGUGGGAUAGUGAAUGCAUAUUUAUUAGAUGAGUGGGCAGCGAUAAUUCGGCGCUUUGGCUCACAAAGUGGGCAAAGUGAAGCAGGGGCGUUGGAGGGCUGCUGGUGAUAAGUUUGCGCUUGAUCAGCUGCUCAUCCCACACGAUUGUGCUGCUUCUGGAGGUCAGGCUCGGCGUUUGGUGAUCACUUGUGGCUGCAAUUUUAAAACCACACGAUGGAAAACCCAAGAAUGUUCAUUUCCUUAGCAUGACUGAAGAAAAUAAACGUUUAUACUUGAAUGUUUUCAAGUGUAGAGCCUGCCGAUCUCUCUCAGUGGGUAGGAGCCUCACAUACAAAGAAAGCGCGUUUCAGUCUGCAGCUGCAGCCGAGCGCUGCUGAGCAGGAGGAGGGAUCUGACUGGUGCACAUUUGGACGCAUGUGAACGGCGCAGUCCAUGAUGAUGAAGAUGAUGAUGCUAGCUGCAGCUCUGCAGACAAUCGCGGCUGCUGAAUGAGCCGUGAGGUACUGUCCAAGGUGCUGAAGAGUCGCUGUAUUUGCACCGCCGCGGCCCCCCCUGCCAGUCCAGACUACACGCGUGAACUGACGUGGAUGCCGAGCAGCGCAACACGGUCCGAGUAAAUAAAUGGGACCACACGUCGUCCGAGCGUUUGAGAGAUCAUGGAGAGAUUUUUCCUGCUCGUCCUCAGCGGCUGCCUCGGCGUCUCUCGAGUCACAGCGGAUAGCCUGUCGCCUCCCGUCAAUGUGACCAUCAAAGAGGUGAAAGCAAACUCCGCCGUGGUGUCAUGGGACAUCCCCGAGGGAGACCCCGUCAUUGGCUUUGCCAUCACACAGCAGAAGAAAGAUGUGCGCAUGCUGCGGUUCAUCCAGGAAGUCAACACCACCACGCGCUCCUGUGCAUUAUGGGACUUGGAGGAGGAGACAGACUACAUCGUGCACGUGCAGUCCAUCAGCAUGUCCGGGACGAGCCCACUGAGCGAACCACUGCGCUUCCGAACCCCAAAGGAGGCUGAGACCCAGGCCUCUAAGAACGAAGUGACCAUGGAGGAGGUGGGUCAGGCGACCCAGCUGAGGGCUGGAGAGCUCAUCAUCAUUGUGGUAGUACUUAUUAUGUGGGCAGGUGUGAUUGCCCUCUUCUGUCGUCAGUAUGACAUAAUCAAAGACAACGAGCCCAACAACAACAAGGACAAAGCCAAAAACUCCUCGGAGUGCAGCACUCCUGAACACCCGACAGGGGGGCUGCUGCGCAGUAAGGUAUAACCCACCCCUCUGCUCCUUCUUCUCCUCUCCUUGGGUGCCUCCCCUCUCAGCGACGCUGGCCAGGUGAAUGGUCCCGGCCACUUCUAGACUUUUUCCACCGUCACUUCAUUAGCUCUCACUUGGUAUCAUCUGAGCAUCAGCUCCAGGCUUGAGAAAAAAAAAAACGCUGCUCAAAUAAGGUGACAUAUGCAUGACUGCAGCAUUCUGCAUCAACAGGACUCAAGUCAUGAUUUCUAAUGCUUUCCCCAAGAACAACAGGUUGCCAUCUGUCAACAUAAUUGAGGUGUGACUGCCAAUAAGUCUUCGCUUUACUCAAAAGACUUCAUGCAAACAACGAGCCCCUUUUAUGUCUAUCUGCUGUCAGGAUGACGCUGGGAACGAGGGACUCUGGGUGUCUUGCAACUGCCUUUUCUUCUUCAACACUGGAUCAAGCUGAAGGGACUCCAGAGGAGGUGGAGGAAUGAGGCUGAGCUCAGCCUUGUUUUCCAUGAGAGCAGAGAGACUGCAGGAAGAGUUCAGCAGCAGGUCUGUGCUCAGUGACAGUAAAACGGGGUCACAGUGGUUGGGGUUUGGAGACACUGCAGAAGAGCCAACCCCAGGGACCAAAGCUCAUCACACAGAGCCAGAAACGGUUACCGGAAAAAAUUUGUAUUUACCUUUUCUGGGUGGUACUGUAAGCUUCUUUAACCCCUUAGUUUCUCAAUGAGCUUAAGCGGUACAUUUGAUGUUUUGGUCUUUAUUUGUGCUUUUUCAGUAAACCUUCCAGUGCAGAGACUUUUUGUUGUUCUGGUACGUUUGUAUUCCCCUCUCAGGGAAUCCAGACUCCACCCAUGUAACAAAGGAGCCAUUCCCCGUAUAGGCUGUAUUGACAUCAGAGCAGCUUUAGAGGGAUCAGCUGGCUAAGUCAUUCGCAAUCAUUGACUCAUACAUACGGAAUAGUUAUUUUAAGUCCAACCUGUAAUUCCCCUUAUCAUAGACUUCUAAAAUGUAACAUUCCUCUCCUUGAACGAGCCCUUUAGUACCUCCUGAUGUCUCUCUUUUUGAGUGUGAUGGAUUUCAGUUGUGGAGCAAAACUCCCCUAAUGGAGUUCAUUCAUCUAAUUAAUUAACUAUAAAUGGGGCUGGACGUCUGAGGAGAAGAGAUCCCUUCAAUCAGCAAUAACAGCCCCUCAGAGGAAGCAAAGGAAGUCUGGAUCCUCUGGAAAAAAGGACUUACUAUGAGCAUGUAAGAGAUGAACAAACUGGGAUGUUCUGUAUGCUGGAAUAAACCUUGGACAUCAAUUUUAAAUGAUCCUCAAAAAAAUAUUUUCAGCGCUGAUGGGGGGAAAAAAACAAAGAUCUCGGCAAGCAUGGAAGAAAAAUCUUUCUCAACGGGCCCAACUGUGGAACCCUCAGACCUCUUUACGGCGUCCUGAACAGAUGUCGAGACAGAAGGGCUUCUUUCAAGACUUUUUCAAUUAUUUGAAUGAACAUGUGUUGAAACUCCAUGUUAAUGAGGAUAAGUAUUGUUGUAAAUGUAUAAAUGAUUUAUUUGAGGGCUGAUUUAAACUCAGUAGUACUGCCUUAACAAUAAUUGUAUCCCAUGACCUAUAAGAUGUAUGGCUUUGUAUCUCACUUCUGUGGCAUUAUAUUUACCUUUCACCCAGUAUUUAAAUGUUUGUGCAAAGUAAAGGGAAACGUUACAAGUAUGGGGCUGGAGCAAAUGGCAGGUAUCUGAUAUGUAAAUACAUUUUAAAUGUCUUAUUUAUUCAGUACUGUCAGUCUAGAGAGCCUUUUGUGGAGUAUGGUUAAUGUGGAAAAUGUCUCCAAUUGUAGGAAAAUUAGGAGAUUGCAUUUUGGUCAAAACGGUUCUGUUUCAUGAAAAGCAUUUUCACAAAAUCUCACCUAUUUUUAUGCAUUUUGUAUUAUCCCAUUAUGCCAUAUUUAAUUAGAAGAGUUAGGAGGAGUAAGCAUUGAAAAAGAAAAAGUUCUGCCACUCAAAAAUUUUUAAUGAGGCUGCAAACAGUCCAAAACGUCCAAAAGAAAAAACACGCUGCUGCCCCUGCAGUCUUGAGUGCAUAGAAAAACGGAGAUGGUGAAGGUUACAGUCGAGUGGAGUGGACAGAAGGAUGACUAAUUUAAUGGCAGGCUUUUAUCGCCAUUUUCCAGCUCUCACUCUCACAUCUUUGUCACAACCCUUGAUAAAAAGUAGAAAAGCUCAAGACCGUGCUCCUCCAGUGACGACUGUGAGCUUAAAGUCAGGCAUUUGGGGCCUUUCCAACUCAUUACCACUGAUUUAGCGUUUGCCAAACUCGAUGCACUGCAGCGAGAUCAGCACUUCACAGCAAACCUAACAAGACUCAAGGUUAAAGCCUACACACAUUUAUUCACACAGUGGCACACUCAGAUGUUUACUUUUUACCAACAUUAUUUACAAUGGCCGAUAUGCCAUUACGGAGAGUCCUCCACAACUUAUUUAGCUGUUAUUUAGCUUGAAAAGCGCUUUGAGCGGUCACUAUGACUGGAAAUGCGCUACAUAAGUUUAGUCCAUUUACCAUUUGAAAGGAACACAUUUUUAAAAAGCACAUUUUUUUUAAGUGCUGACAACUUCGAAGACAGUGCAUAUCUUAAUCCUUUUUUGCCAUUGUAAAUACUCCAAUAAUAUUUACUAAAUUUGAUAGGUAUGAUAAGAAAUUCCCUUUUUUGAAGUUGUCUAACUUUUGGUUUUGGAAAAUGGAUCUGUAAAGUUUUGCACCAUCCUAAUUUUUCACUUAGAAGUCAAACUUUUUUUAAACUAGAAACGUGAGAGCUUUUUUUCAUUUCUGCUGCCUAUUACAUGGAGAUGGUUCACCAGCAACACAGAUGCCAGGGAGUGGCCACAUUUUUUCCCCAACAAAAAGCUAUUUGGACUGACUUAGAUAAACUGUCAUGGCCCCACUUUAAAACAGGAUUUCCACAGAUUGUUCGUGUUGAGAUUUUGUAUUAUUCCAGACUCAAUAAUGCAGAAUUAUUCACCCUUUUAAGCCAAAGAUUCACAAGCUGACAGUGGUCAGGUAAUACUCUUGGGACCUGGAAAUAACUAGAGGAAAGGACAAAGGCUGAUGGAUGGACAGGUGGAUGAACAGGUGACCAGAUGCAAGGAAAAUCAGACAGUUGGUACAUUUAUUGCCAAUGGUAUGGUGAAUAAAGUCUUUAUUGACAAAUACCUUUCAAUUUUCUUUUGGGCUCUUGAAUAUUUCCUAAAUUAACUUCCAGGUUCAUCUCAAACUGAAAUUUACGUAACGCCAAUUUGUAAAGUCGAACCACAAAUGUUCCUAAUGAAUUUAUGCAAAAACCAGAAACAGGAAGUGAAGAAAAAAAAGGGGGAAAGCAGACGGAUGGAUGCAUGGAUACAACUUUUACAAGAUGGGAACACAUGCCUGCAAAACACAUUCACACUCACAUUUCUGCAAUUCUCAAUACUUUUAUCUCAAUUUUAAAGUAUAAAUACAAAGGUUCUACAUGGGUUAAUGGCAGAUAUGUCUAGAGUGGUGAAAGUUUCAUUUUAUAACAAGCAAAAAAAAAAAAAAAGAUCGGCAGUCAGAAACAGAUUGAGCGAUGUGUAGACCGAUGCAUGAUAGAGACCAUCAGAGCUAAAGAUUGAACUUUUAAAUGACAGGGAACAAAGUUUGGAAGUACAUGUUGUUUUAUACUUAUCCAGACCUGGAAAAUCCUGUAUUCCACUUUUCCAGGCCAGAGGGAGAAACGUCCUGACUACCGGAGGGUCGACGGGUUUGUCAUUAAAAUUAAGAGUCACUUAAUUUUACUUUUCUUUCCCAAUGAAACCUUUUCACCAAUGUUAGCAUGCCUGUUAGAAACGUGGUGAUACUAUAUCAGUCAUAAUGCUUGUGAACUGAUGCUACUAAAUAUGGAUGUCAGCCUUGACUCACUGAUCUUACUAACCUGGCAGAUUAAAGGCCAAAGAAAAAAAGAAAGACUUUGUUUCCAGUUGCCUGAAGGUAAAAUGAUAUACCGUUUUAUUGGUUUGUUUUUCCAUUUGAAAUCGUGGACCAUAUGAAGCUGGCACUAUAAAAAGACCACAAGAUCCUCUGGAUUUAAGACGUCAGGCCAGUUCAGCUUAAUGAUUCCGGUUCAAACUAUUUCUCCCACAUUUCUGUUCCUUUACCACACUAGAUGGUGACGACUGUAAGUAAACAACAUUCCAAUGAGCCCUCUGGGGUCAAAACACUUAUCAACAGAGGAUUUGUCUUACUGUAACAUUUAAUAGGAAUAUUAAACUGUAUGUAAAAUGUGCAUGGUAACAGUGGUGGACUAUGAUGGGAAACCUGGUUAAAAAUUAGACUGGAUUUUGUCCCACAGGCUGCGAAUUAUUUUUAUUUAAAACACAGGAAUGAGCUUCAAAAGCAUGUUUUAGAAAAAAUGAACAGUUUAUUAGUGCCAUCAUAUUUAUGAUCAUGUUAAACAGCAGUCAUGAGGGCUAGCAUGGUUGAACUAUUAUGCACAAUCUUUACACUUCAGUUAUGAAGACAAUGGUGUAUGCUUACUUGUAAAUGCUUAAAGGAAAUAAAAUUCUAAUAUUUUCCAA